rnacentral:rRNA from 1 species
UACGGAGGGUGCAAGCGUUAUUCGGAAUCAUUGGGUGUAAAGCGCGUGUAGGCGGCUAGGUAAGUCAGAUGUGAAAGUUCUGGGCUUAACCGAGAAAGUGCAUUUGAAACUGCCUGGCUUGAGUCUCGUAGAGGAAGGUGGAAUUCCCAGUGUAGAGGUGAAAUUCGUAGAUAUUGGGAGGAACACCGGUGGCGAAGGCGACCUUCUGGGCGAAGACUGACGCUGAGACGCGAAAGCGUGGGGAGCAAACAGGAUUAGAUACCCUGGUAGUCCACGCUGUAAACGAUGGGUACUAGGUGUAGGGGGUAUUCACCCCCCCUGUGCCGAAGCUAACGCAUUAAGUACCCCACCUGGGGAGUACGGCCGCAAGGCUAAA